GGCGGCGUUGGGCAACCAGGUUGCCCGCCAAGCUGAACCCUUGGUUCCCGAAAGGGUUUCCGGGUUCAAAUAGCUUUCGGUCUUGGCCGGAACUUGAAUCUCCCGGCGCCGCCG
rnacentral:tRNA from 1 species